rnacentral:rRNA from 2 species
UCUGGUGUCAGCCGCCGCGGUAAAACCAGCACCUCGAGUGGUCAGGAGGUUUAUUGGGCCUAAAGCAUCCGUAGCCGGUUGUUUAAGUUUUCGGUUAAAUCUAUGCGCUUAACGUAUAGGCCGCCGAAAAUACUGGACAGCUAGGGAGUGGGAGAGGUACACGGUACUCAAUAGGAAGGGGUAAAAUCCUUUGAUCUGUUGAUGACCACCUGUGGCGAAGGCGGUGUACCAGAACACGUUCGACGGUGAGGGAUGAAAGCUGGGGGAGCAAACCGGAUUAGAUACCCGGGUAGUCCCAGCUGUAAACGAUGCAAACUCGGUGAUGCAUUGGCUUGUGGCCAAUGCAGUGCCGCAGGGAAGCCGUUAAGUUUGCCGCCUGGGAAGUACGUACGCAAGUAUGAAACUUAAAGGAAUUGGCGGGGGAGCACCACAAGGGGUGAAGCCUGCGGUUCAAUUGGAGUCAACGCCAGAAAUCUUACCCGGAGCGACAGCAGAAUGAAGGUCAAGCUGAAGACUUUACCAGACAAGCU